rnacentral:rRNA from 1 species
UACGUAGGGUGCGAGCGUUAAUCGGAAUUACUGGGCGUAAAGCGUGCGCAGGCGGCUUCGCAAGUCAGACGUGAAAUCCCCGGGCUUAACCUGGGAACUGCAUUUGUGACUGCAUGGCUAGAGUACGGCAGAGGGGGAUGGAAUUCCGCGUGUAGCAGUGAAAUGCGUAGAUAUGCGGAGGAACACCGAUGGCGAAGGCAAUCCCCUGGGCCUGUACUGACGCUCAUGCACGAAAGCGUGGGGAGCAAACAGG